AUAAAAGAAUUAUAGAAUAGUCGUAGCCCCCUGGCCUGUGGCAUUCGGCGCCCGCUAGCGUCAGAAGGGAUGCCAGCCGCGGUUCCAAAGCCCAUCAAGGGCAGCAAGUUCAUGGUAAUCUGUAAUCGAUGCGGCACCAAUGCAGGUUACUCGGUACAAGCAAUGAACUCCCACUCACGAUGGUGUGCCGCCGCGAAAAAGGAGAAAGAGAUGGCAGCCAAGAAAGUGGCGGCGAAGGCUCGUCGCAAGCCGCAGCGGCGCUAGAAUGGGUGCCCCACCGGUGGCGUUAGAGAAGGUGUUUUCAUUCUGAACUGUUGCGAACUGUUGCUGCACAAUUUUGUGCUAGAUUCAUUGCUGUUCUUGGAA